rnacentral:rRNA from 1 species
CGUACUUUUUGUAGAACGGGCCAACGAGUUACGUUAAGUAGCAAGGUUAAGCACUUAAGGUGCGGAGCCGUAGCGAAAGCGAGUUUUAACUGAGCGUUCAGUUACUUGACGUAGACCCGAAACCGGGCGACCUACCCAUGAGCAGGAUGAAGCGAAAGUAAAAUUUCGUGGAGGUCCGAACCCACGCGCGUUGAAAAGCUCGGGGAUGACUUGUGGGUAGCGGUGAAAUUCCAAUCGAGCCCGGAGAUAGCUGGUUCUCCCCGAAAUAGCUUUAGGGCUAGCCUCAAGGUGAGAGAUACGGAGGUAGAGCACUGAAUGUCCUAGGGGGUAUUGCACCUACCGAAGACUAUCAAACUCCGAAUGCCGUCAUCUUAUACUUGGGAGUCAGACUGUGGGUGAUAAGAUUCAUAGUCGAAAGGGCAACAGCCCAGAUCGUCAGCUAAGGUCCCUAAAUGUAAGUUAAGUGGUAAAGGAUGUGGGAUUGCACAGACAACCAGGAUGUUGGCUUAGAAGCAGCCACUCAUUCAAAGAGUGCGUAAUAGCUCACUGGUCGAGUGAUCCUGCGCCGAAGAUUUCCGGGGCUAAAACUUACUACCGAAGCUACGGCAUCAGUAAUGAUGGGUAGGGGAGCUUCCCAUACGGGUUGAAGCAUGACCG